rnacentral:lncRNA from 1 species
UUUAAAGAAUGAAGGUAAUUGCAGGGUGGUGGUAGUACAUGCUUUUAAUCCUAGCACUCAAGAGGCAGAGGCAUGCAGAGGCUAGCCUGAUCUACAGAGUGAGUUCCAGGAUAUUCAGAGAAACCUGUCUCGAAAAAUAAACAAACAACAACAACAACAAAACAAUAAAAAACAGUUGGAGCUAAUUUAAGUGUUUACAAUUAUUCAUUUGUGGAGGGGCAGGGCAUAGCAUAAGUGUGGGAGUCAGAGAACAGCUGGAGGGCUUGGUUCCUCCUCCUGCCAUGCAGGCCCUGGAGGGUGCGACUCAGAUUGUCAGACUCGGCAACACAUGCCUUUCCCCCAUGGGCCAUCUCACUGCUUCCAUACAAUCCAUCCAGUACUGUCAUGAUUAAGACGCUCCCUUCCUCUCUGUAUAGUAUUCCUUUAACUGUCGUCUUCAGCGUUGGCUUGAUGGUCACGAGUGGUUAUAGUUUGUAAUAGUCUUGAAAUGUCCUUCACAAUCAGUUUUACGAGCCAGUUCUUCAGAUUUUAGCAAUCUUGAUUGGCACUUACUUAUUUUCAUGAUUUGAAAUAUUAUUCCGAGCUUUUCCUUUCUUUGAGCCUCAAAAGAGAGAGAAGUGUUGCACUCACCUUCGUAGUUGAGUUAGCGUUUUCCUUAUAGCUCUUUUUCUUAUCUUGGUAUUUUUGACAUUUUGAUUAUAUUAUUUAGAAGAUUUCUAGUCAAUGCCUGUUGAGUUCUAAAUGCCUUUGGUACUUGGAUGUCCAUUUCUUCCUCUAGACUUGGGGGGUGUUCUGCUAUGAUUCCGUUGCAGAGUCUCUGUGUCUAUAGUUUCUAUCUGAGCUUGCCUGUGCUGUGGAGCUUUUGAUUGUAUUCUGGAGUUCUUUGGCACUGUGGCCGUGUGCCCUCUCCCCCGUGCCCCAUUGUUUUUCCUUGACUGCAUCCUUCAUCCCUGGCCCUCUCUUGUGGUCCUCCUUUCCAGUGUGUUUUCAUCGCAAUCACUGAGAUUUUCAUUUCCAGCGUUCUACAGUUUUUCCUAUUGAAAAUGUUCUCUUAUGCUGUUGAGGUUUUCAUCUCUGUCGCUGAUUUUCUCAUCUAUUUCCUUGACUCUUCAUCUAUUGCUGCCUUUUCUUUCCUGGGCCUGGAUUGAACUCAUCUAUUUGUUUGCAUCCUUUUUGAGUUUUGUACUAGUGAAGUUUUGAAAUUUUCACCUCACAUUGUAUGUGCUUUGUUAUCUUUGGGUUCAUGAGUUAGCUGGUGAGUUUAUUUUUUCUAGCAGCCCUGUUGCUUUGCUAGUUUAUAUCCCCAUGUAUUUGGAUAUCUCUUCCACCUUUAUUCUUGGUUUUUCUAAUUUUACAGCCUGCUCCUGUGGUCUCAAUUUCUACUAUACCUCAGAGAGGGGGGAAAAACCCUGGUAAACUUCAACAUCAAACCAAUUAAGACUUAGUAGUACUCCAACAAUCAAUAAAAGCCUACCCUGUCUAUCAUCAAUGACAAUAAAUAGAAAAUGGAAGAACUAAAUUAGGAUGUAUUUGAAAUAAAAAUUGUCUAGGGUAAAGUAGGAGGCCAGCAAAGGGGAAAUCAGAGGAAAAUCCGGAUAUGUAAGUAAAGGAGGAAGGAGGGGAAAAGAGAGAAACAGGGAGGUUGAGGAAAGGGAACCAAUGAUUUACCAGUAAUGAGAACAUUUGAAAGCAAAAUUCGGUAACUGUAAGAAGUAGAAUAAAAAAUAAAACAGUUUGUAAGAGUUCCACAAAAAAAGUUGAAAAGGAAAAGAAAGCAAAGGGGGAACCCAGAAAACCAAAAGGUUGCCCAAUAAUGUGAAAAAUGAGCACAAUUUGAUGACUGUAUGAAGAGAAAUAAAAAGUGAAGACAUAAAAGAUUGGAGUUCUUUUUGUUUCGUUUUUUUUUUUUUUUUUAAAUAGGUGGAAAGUGCUAGUGCU